CUAAGCGCUUGGGAGAGUACAGACCUGGCUUGGCUUCUACAACACCUGAAGUUUUGUCUAAACUCUGCCUCUUAGACUUGUGAUCUGCUUUCAUGCCUUUGUUCGGGGUCGAAGCCCGAUUCAAACAAGAGAAAAAGAAACAUCUUCAACCCUAACAGCACAUGACGCUAUUCUAAACACUGCACAAACUUAUCUCCUCCCAGGAUCUUCGGAUCUAGAGGGCCCGCUAUUGAUGAAACCAAAGCUGUUCCAGGGCAUAUCAAACACUGGACUUUGGGAACAAAAAUGAAAUGGAUAUGGAGAAAUAUUAAUCACACGUGCAAGACAAAGGAUCAGUGAAGGGAAGUGAUGGAGUGCCCUGGAGGACAAGGCCAAAUCUCUCAAUAAAAGGCUGUUCAAGAUCUUCAC